AUUGAACGCUGGCGGCAUGCUUUACACAUGCAAGUCGAACGGUAACAGGCCGCAAGGUGCUGACGAGUGGCGAACGGGUGAGUAAUGCAUCGGAACGUGCCCAGUCGUGGGGGAUAACUACUCGAAAGAGUAGCUAAUACCGCAUACGAUCUAUGGAUGAAAGCGGGGGACCGUAAGGCCUCGCGCGAUUGGAGCAGCCGAUGUCAGAUUAGGUAGUUGGUGGGGUAAAGGCUCACCAAGCCAACGAUCUGUAGCUGGUCUGAGAGGACGACCAGCCACACUGGGACUGAGGCACGGCCCAGACUCCUACGGGAGGCAGCAGUGGGGAAUUUUGGACAAUGGGCGCAAGCCUGAUCCAGCAAUGCCGCGUGCAGGAAGAAGGCCCUCGGGUUGUAAACUGCUUUUGUACGGAACGAAACGGCUCUGGUUAAUACCCGGGGCUAAUGACGGUACCGUAAGAAUAAGCACCGGCUAACUACGUG
rnacentral:rRNA from 1 species